UGCGUAGGUGGUUGUUUAAGUCUGUCGUGAAAGCCCUGGGCUUAACCUGGGAACUGCGAUGGAAACUGGGCGACUAGAGUGUGGUAGAGGGUAGCGGAAUUCCUGGUGUAGCAGUGAAAUGCGUAGAUAUCAGGAGGAACAUCCAUGGCGAAGGCAGCUACCUGGGCCAACACUGACACUGAGGCACGAAAGCGUGGGGAGCAAACA
rnacentral:rRNA from 1 species